rnacentral:tRNA from 1 species
GUAGUCGUGGCCGAGUGGUUUAGGUGAUGGACUAGAUAUCCAUUGGGGUCUCCCUGUGAAGGUUUGAAUCCUGCCGACUAUG